rnacentral:rRNA from 1 species
AUACGUAGGGGGCGAGCGUUGUCCGGAAUGACUGGGCGUAAAGGGCGUGUAGGCGGCUUUAUAAGUCUGGAGUGAAAGUCCUGCUUUCAAGGUGGGAAUUGCUUUGGAGACUGUAGAGCUUGAGUGCGGAAGAGGUAAGUGGAAUUCCCAGUGUAGCGGUGAAAUGCGUAGAGAUUGGGAGGAACACCAGUGGCGAAGGCGACUUACUGGGCCGUAACUGACGCUGAGGCGCGAAAGCGUGGGGAGCGAACAGGAUUAGAUACCCUGGUAGUCCACGCCGUAAACGAUGAAUGCUAGGUGUAGCGGGUAUCGACCCCUGCUGUGCCGCAGUAAACACAAUAAGCAUUCCGCCUGGGGAGUACGGCCGCAAGGUUGAAACUCAAAUGAAUUGGCGGGG